rnacentral:rRNA from 1 species
CCUACGGGAGGCAGCAGUGGGGAAUAUUGGACAAUGGGCGAAAGCCUGAUCCAGCAAUGCCGCGUGAGUGAUGAAGGCCUUAGGGUUGUAAAGCUCUUUUACCAGGGAUGAUAAUGACAGUACCUGGAGAAUAAGCUCCGGCUAACUCCGUGCCAGCAGCCGCGGUAAUACGGAGGGAGCUAGCGUUGUUCGGAAUUACUGGGCGUAAAGCGUACGUAGGCGGUUAUUCAAGUCAGAGGUGAAAGCCUGGAGCUCAACUCCAGAACUGCCUUUGAAACUAGAUAGCUAGAAUCUUGGAGAGGUGAGUGGAAUUCCGAGUGUAGAGGUGAAAUUCGUAGAUAUUCGGAAGAACACCAGUGGCGAAGGCGACUCACUGGACAAGGUAUUGACGCUGAGGUACGAAAGCGUGGGGAGCAAACAGGAUUAGAUACCCUGGUAGUCCACGCCGUAAACGAUGAUAACUAGCUGUUCGGGCUCUACGAGCUUGAGUGGCGCAGCUAACGCAUUAAGUUAUCCGCCUGGGGAGUACGGUCGCAAGNUUAAAACUCAAAGGAUUGACGGCUUGAGACGNGCGAGGACGACGACGAGGAGGAGG